rnacentral:rRNA from 1 species
UACGGAGGGUGCAAGCGUUGUCCGGAAUCACUGGGCGUAAAGGGCGCGUAGGCGGCUCAUGAAGGCUGUGGUGAAAGUCCGGGGCUCAACCUCGGAUCGGCCGUGGCGACUCGUGGGCUGGAGCACUGUAGAGGCGGGUGGAAUUCCGGGUGUAGCGGUGGAAUGCGUAGAGAUCCGGAAGAACACCAGUGGCGAAGGCGGCCCGCUGGGCAGUGGCUGACGCUGAAACACGAAAGCGUGGGGAGCAAACAGG